UAUGUCGUACGAUGUGUUUUGUGUGAUUCGUCGAAGCACUUUUUGAACGCGUAGGUCGUAGACCCAGUGCACUAGUUAGGACGUUCGGUAGGAUCCCAGAUAAUGAUUCGAGGUAGUCGGUAGUGCACGCCGCUGCAAAGGCAGAGCAAAUCCUGACUUUUGAUCAGCCUCCCGAUUGUUGUAUAACCCGACGAUCGGGGGCUUAAGU
rnacentral:lncRNA from 1 species